AGGAGGCAGCAGCUAAGGAUAUUCCGCAAUGGACGAAAGUCUGACGGAGCGACGCCGCGUGGAUGAUGAAGGCCGAAAGGUUGUAAAAUCCUUUUGAACUGGAAGAAUAAGCAGUGUAGGAAAUGACAUUGUGGUGACGGUACAGUUUGAAUAAGCAACGGCUAAUUACGUGCCAGCAGCCGCGGUAACACGUAAGUUGCGAGCGUUGUUCGGAAUUAUUGGGCGUAAAGGGCAUGUAGGCGGUUAUCUAAGCUUGGUGUGAAAGGCAGGGGCUCAACUCCUGGACUGCAUCGAGAACUGGAUGACUAGAGUUACUGAAGUGGAAUCAGAAUUCCAGGUGUAGGGGUGAAAUCUGUAGAUAUCUGGAAGAAUACCAAUGGCGAAGGCAGGUUACCAGCAGAUGACUGACGCUGAGGUGCGAAGGUGCGGGGAGCAAACAGGAUUAGAUACCCUGGUA
rnacentral:rRNA from 1 species